GUUUCUUGUGGGAUUUGGGGCUGUGGCUUACAUUCUGGCAUCUCAGUUUCUCAGUUGUAUGGUACUGGACACCCAAAGGAAACUUAAGGAAGGGCGCUCAUGCAGCAGUGUGGAAGAAUCGGAUUGGUUAAAGUACCACUCUAAAAGACAUCACCAGACAAAGGCAGGCAUGAGACGCUGCUGACGUCCUUUGGCUUCCUGUUCAUGAGGCUGUGCUUGGCAUCCUCGGAUUUAGGCACAGUGUGAAUUUUCUUAGACUUCACCCUCCAGACCUCAUUUUGUUUCAUCAGCCCUUCCCUGCCUAUCAGAAAUUUGGUGUCUCUUUCCUCCCUGUGGAUCCCAGUGCUGAGAAGCCAGCAGCAGUCAAGAGAAGUCACAAGAUUGUUUGUGUGUUGGUGGUGUUUUUAUGAAUGCAGGAAUUACCACAAUUGUAUGAAUAAUUCAUUCAUGAAAAUGAUGCUUGAAAAAGAAAAGUACUCUUCUAUUAUUCUUGGAAAUUGUUAACCCAGUUGCUUUUUUUUGCCUUUGCUGUGGUGGGAGCUGGCAGCGGCUGUCAUUGAGAGCCAGCAAGUUCAUCUUAGUGAAAGUUAGUGAGUGGGGGGCAGGAAAGAUGCAGGCCCUUCCCCGCUGUCGCU